CCUACGGGAGGCAGCAGUGGGGAAUAUUGCACAAUGGGGGAAACCCUGAUGCAGCGACGCCGCGUGAGUGAAGAAGUAUUUCGGUACGUAAAGCUCUAUCAGCAGGGAAGAAAAUGACGGUACCUGACUAAGAAGCCCCGGCUAACUACGGGCCAGCAGCCGCGGUAAUACGUAGGGGGCAAGCGUUAUCCGGAUUUACUGGGUGUAAAGGGAGCGUAGACGGCAGCGCAAGUCUGGAGUGAAAUCCCAGGGCUUAACCAUGGAACUGCUUUUGAAACUGUGCAGCUAGAGUGCGGGAGAGGUAAGCGGAAUUCCUGGUGUAGGGGUGAAAUGCGUAGAUAUUAGGAGGAACACCAGUGGCGAAGGCGGCUUACUGGCAUGUAACUGACGUUGAGGAGCGAAAGCGUGGGGAGCAAACAGGAUUAGAUACCCUGGUAGUC
rnacentral:rRNA from 1 species